rnacentral:lncRNA from 1 species
CCUUUUGCCGCCAUCGAGAUCGGAGCAGACAGCUGAGUGGACCGUCCUGCCAACAGCAGACGACAUUGUGCCGGACAUGAAAGGCUUGAAAGUUGUCUGGUGCGGGAAAAUACCCCCUUUUCUAGAGGAAAAACUGAAAAAAAACUGAUUCAGAAUCAGUCUUCGACUGGGCCUCUGAAGUGGACUGACUGGCAGACGGAAAUUGAAG